GGUUGCUGUUCUGGGUCAGCUUUUAGUCAACCCAACCACCGGAGAACCAAAACACCGACCAUACUUUCGCAUACUUUCUUAAUUUUACCAAGCUGGUCUUACUCCUCUGCUUCAGUUGCAAGAUCUGCUGUGAAACUCCCUUUUUACGGCUUUAGAAGAUCCGAACUAUGAUGGAAUCAGGGUUAAUUUAUGGUUAAAGAUGAAAGAUAUAACUUCCGGGUUGGAAGGAAUCUGUGAGGAAAGAAUUGAGCUUGAAUUGCAAGUAGUUAAUGGAGAGGUAGUUCCAUUUGUAUGGAAACGACCACGCAUUAUAUCUUUGCCAACUGAACCUACUGCUUUUGGCAGAGAUGAAGAUAAAGCUAAAAUGAUUCAAAGGGUGAUAAAGGAUGGAGAAACUGAUUUCAUCUUUUCUGUAAUAACCCAUUUCUUGGUAUGGGAGGAGUUGGCAAGAUUACGAUUUUUGGGUAUGAAUGUAAAGCUCUCGGAGAUUGCAAACCAAAAGUAUGGAUAUGUGUCUCUGAAGAGAUAGAUUUGAGUUGAUGAGAAAUAUGGGUAUGUGUCUCUGACAUGGGUAUGUGUCUCUGAACACAUAGAUUUGGGUUUCUGAGAAGUAUAGCUAUAUGUCAGUGAAGUGGGUAUGUGUCUCCGAAAACACAAUUUAUGUUUCUAAGACAUAGAUUUGGGUUUUGGAGAGUAUGGGUAUGUGUAUCAGACAUGGGUAUGUGUGUCAGAAGACAUGAGUUUAUGUUUCUCAAGACAUAGAUUUGGGUUUCUGAGAAAUAUGGUUGUGUGUCUUUGAAGUGGGUAUGUGUCUCGGACGAUAUGAGUUUGUGUUUCUAAGAGAUAGAUAUGAGUUUGUGUUUCUAAGAGAUACUGACAAGUAUGAGUGUGUGUCUCUAAAGUGGGUACGUGUCUCAGACGAUAUGAGUUUAUGUUUUUCUAAAGAGACAGAUUUGGGUUUCUGAGAAGUAUGGGUGUGUGUCUCUAAAGUGGGUAUGUGUCUAUGAAGAUAUGAGUUUGUGUUUUAAUAAGUAUGGGUGUGUGUCUCUGAAGUAGGUAUGUGUCUCAGAAAGAUGAGUUUGUGUUUCUAAAAGAGAGAUUUGGGUUUCUUUGAAGUGGGGAUGUGUCUCAAAACAUUGAGUUUGUAUUUUUAAGACGUAGAUUUGGGUUUCUAGAAUAACGGGUGUAUGUCUCUUGAAAACAUAAAUUUGGGUUUCUGAAAUCUGAAGAUAAAAUAAUAUCAGAGUUCUUUCA